GACGUAGGGGGCCAGCGUUGCUCGGAAUUACUGGGCGUAAAGGGUUCGUAGGCGGUGCGGCAAGUCGGGAGUGAAAUCUCUGGGCUUAACUCGGAGGCUGCUUCCGAAACUGCCGUGCUCGAGUGUGGGAGAGGCGAGUGGAAUUGCAGGUGUAGCGGUGAAAUGCGUAGAUAUCUGCAGGAACACCCGUGGCGAAGGCGGCUCGCUGGACCGCAACUGACGCUGAGGAACGAAAGCUAGGGGAGCAAACAGG
rnacentral:rRNA from 1 species